rnacentral:rRNA from 1 species
UACGGGGGGGGCAAGCGUUGUUCGGAAUUACUGGGCGUAAAGGGCUCGUAGGCGGCCAACUAAGUCAGACGUGAAAUCCCUCGGCUUAACCGGGGAACUGCGUCUGAUACUGGAUGGCUUGAGAUUGGGAGAGGGAUGCGGAAUUCCAGGUGUAGCGGUGAAAUGCGUAGAUAUCUGGAGGAACACCGGUGGCGAAGGCGGCUUUCUGGUCUGUAACUGACGCUGAGGCGCGAAAGCGUGGGGAGCAAACAGG